rnacentral:rRNA from 1 species
CAUGCAAGUCGAGGGGCAGCGGGGAGGUAGCAAUACCUUUGCCGGCGACCGGCGCACGGGUGAGUAACACGUAUGCAAUCCGCCUGUAACAGGGGGAUAACCCGGAGAAAUCCGGACUAAUACCCCAUAAUAUGGGCGCUCCGCAUGGAGAGUUCAUUAAAGAGAGCAAUUUUGGUUACAGACGAGCAUGCGCUCCAUUAGCCAGUUGGCGGGGUAACGGCCCACCAAAGCGAUGAUGGAUAGGGGUUCUGAGAGGAAGGUCCCCCACAUUGGAACUGAGACACGGUCCAAACUCCUACGGGAGGCAGCAGUGAGGAAUAUUGGUCAAUGGUCGGCAGACUGAACCAGCCAAGUCGCGUGAGGGAAGACGGCCCUACGGGUUGUAAACCUCUUUUGUCGGAGAGUAAAGUACGCUACGCGUAGCGUAUUGCAAGUAUCCGAAGAAAAAGCAUCGGCUAACUCCGUGCCAGCAGCCGCGGUAAUACGGAGGAUGCGAGCGUUAUCCGGAUUUAUUGGGUUUAAAGGGUGCGUAGGCGGCACGCCAAGUCAGCGGUGAAAUUUCCGGGCUCAACCCGGAGUGUGCCGUUGAAACUGGCGAGCUAGAGUGCACAAGAGGCAGGCGGAAUGCGUGGUGUAGCGGUGAAAUGCAUAGAUAUCACGCAGAACCCCGAUUGCGAAGGCAGCCUGCUAGGGUGCGACAGACGCUGAGGCACGAAAGCGUGGGUAUCGAACAGGAUUAGAUACCCUGGUAGUCCACGCAGUAAACGAUGAAUACUAACUGUUUGCGAUACAAUGUAAGCGGUACAGCGAAAGCGUUAAGUAUUCCACCUGGGGAGUACGCCGGCAACGGUGAAACUCAAAGGAAUUGACGGGGGCCCGCACAAGCGGAGGAACAUGUGGUUUAAUU